UACGGGGGGGGCAAGCGUUGUUCGGAAUUACUGGGCGUAAAGGGCCAGUAGGCGGCCAACUAAGUCCGACGUGAAAUCCCAAGGCUUAACCUUGGAACUGCGUCGGAUACUGGAUGGCUUGAAUUCGGGAGAGGGAUGCAGAAUUCCAGGUGUAGCGGUGAAAUGCGUAGAUAUCUGGAGGAACACCGGUGGCGAAGGCGGCGUCCUGGACCAACACUGACACUGAGGAGCGAAAGCCAGGGGAGCAAACGGG
rnacentral:rRNA from 1 species